AGUAACACGUGGGUAACCUGCCUUAUAGUGGGGGAUAGCCUUUCGAAAGGAAGAUUAAUACCGCAUAAGAUUGUAGUAUCGCAUAAUAUAGCAAUUAAAGGAGCAAUUCGCUAUAAGAUGGACCCGCGUCGCAUUAGCUAGUUGGUGAGGUAAUGGCUCACCAAGGCGACGAUGCGUAGCCGACCUGAGAGGGUGAACGGCCACAUUGGGACUGAGACACGGCCCAGACUCCUACGGGAGGCAGCAUG
rnacentral:rRNA from 1 species